GCAUCAGUCGUCUUAAGGGAAAGACGUUCCCCUUCAAUAAGGCCUUGCUGCCUCCUUCAGAGGGAAAGACGCGAGUUCGAAUCUUGCCUGGUGCA
rnacentral:tRNA from 1 species